rnacentral:rRNA from 1 species
GGGACCAUCCUCCAAGGCUAAAUACUCCUGACUGACCGAUAGUGAACCAGUACCGUGAGGGAAAGGCGAAAAGAACCCCGGCGAGGGGAGUGAAAAAGAACCUGAAACCGUGUACGUACAAGCAGUGGGAGCCUCUUUUAUGGGGUGACUGCGUACCUUUUGUAUAAUGGGUCAGCGACUUAUAUUCUGUAGCAAGGUUAACCGAAUAGGGGAGCCGAAGGGAAACCGAGUCUUAACUGGGCGUUAAGUUGCAGGGUAUAGACCCGAAACCCGGUGAUCUAGCCAUGGGCAGGUUGAAGGUUGGGUAACACUAACUGGAGGACCGAACCGACUAAUGUUGAAAAAUUAGCGGAUGACUUGUGGCUGGGGGUGAAAGGCCAAUCAAACCGGGAGAUAGCUGGUUCUCCCCGAAAGCUAUUUAGGUAGCGCCUCGUGAAUUCAUCUCCGGGGGUAGAGCACUGUUUCGGCAAGGGGGUCAUCCCGACUUACCAACCCGAUGCAAACUGCGAAUACCGGAGAAUGUUAUCACGGGAGACACACGGCGGGUGCUAACGUCCGUCGUGAAGAGGGAAACAACCCAGACCGCCAGCUAAGGUCCCAAAGUCAUGGUUAAGUGGGAAACGAUGUGGGAAGGCCCAGACAGCCAGGAUGUUGGCUUAGAAGCAGCCAUCAUUUAAAGAAAGCGUAAUAGCUCACUGGUCGAGUCGGCCUGCGCGGAAGAUGUAACGGGGCUAAACCAUG